CAAAUACCUAGUGUGGGUUUUAAAAUCUACAUUUUGGCGCCGUCCAUUAAGACAAUAAAUAAAACACAUCAUUGCUAAAAACCCGAUCCAAGAUUUGUAAGCACAACAAUGGAUCUCUCUAUUACGGUUUCCGGUAUAACCAAACCAUGCAUCAAUGGUGCCGAUCUCAUAAGAUCUGAAAUAAGAAACAAAAUUGAUACCUUGCCCACAGAUACAGAGCAAACCGAAUCAAAUGUAACUAACAGGACGAGCUUACUACAACAUGCAUCAACCCCUUUUAAAAUCUCAGAAUCCUCUAUGAUCUCCGAUUAUUCGGGCUCUCUGCCACAAUGGCAGACUAAUACGAGAUGACCUCAAACCAUGGUAUCAAGAUCAGUAUUUUCCUUGCCAACGGCACAUACCCUCGAAGAAAUAAUUGAGCUGUGAUACCAUCGUAAUAGAUGAAUCUCAAAGCCAAGAGCUCGCUCAACGAACUAUUCUUUGUUCCUUAUAACAAAAUGAAAAGAAUCUCACGUCACAUCUAGCCAAAAUACUUGAACGCUUAGGAAGCCGACCUGAAGCAAAAAAACGAGUCUCACACCUUGAUAACAGCUGAAUUACCCAGGGAAUCUUAGGACUUCUGAGUUUCUCAACUCCCGAUUUGUACUCUUUGAGAUCAAGGAAGCAUGCAUCUAGGACAACACCUUGAUAUGGAACAAUCAAUCGCAGUUGAGAUUAAACAUGUUGGUCGAUAUUCAAACUAGAGAACUCAAACAUGAAGUCUGCCAGUUCGAACCCCUUUUAACUUAAGUGAUGGAUGACCUGACCACACGGGAACUUCCGAGCUUUUGAGCUCCUGAAAACGUAACCCCAUGAAUCCUAAUUGCGCAUCCACAUCAAACAACCAGAUUACAACAAAACAGAACAUGAGCUAUGGAUAAUGAAUUUUGGUUUUUGCAGACCCAAAACCUGAAGGGGUAGACUCAAGAAGUAUGAUUGAUGUUGAAGCUUUCCAAGGUUUGAGAAGAAUAAUGACUAGUUACCAAGAAUCCACGCCAUCAUAAACAUGGCGACAAGAUUUAUUCCAGAUAUAGAUCGCGUCAUAGAAGAAGUCUGGUGCACUCCUUCCACAAAUUGAAUAGAAAGUCUACGACUGCAUGACAUAAGGAAAAUCUGGUUCCCAAAAAUACUCUAGAAACACAUAAGCUUUUUG
rnacentral:lncRNA from 1 species